rnacentral:rRNA from 1 species
GACGUAUGGCGCGAGCGUUGUCCGGAUUUAUUGGGCGUAAAGAGCUCGUAGGCGGCUUGUCGCGUCGUCCGUGAAAACUUGGGGCUCAACCCCAAGCUUGCGGUCGAUACGGGCAGGCUAGAGUUCGGUAGGGGAGACUGGAAUUCCUGGUGUAGCGGUGAAAUGCGCAGAUAUCAGGAGGAACACCGGUGGCGAAGGCGGGUCUCUGGGCCGAUACUGACGCUGAGGAGCGAAAGCGUGGGGAGCGAACAGG